rnacentral:rRNA from 1 species
GACGAACGCUGGCGGCGUGCUUAACACAUGCAAGUCGAACGGAAAGGCCCUGCUUUUGUGGGGUGCUCGAGUGGCGAACGGGUGAGUAACACGUGAGUAACCUGCCCUUGACUUUGGGAUAACUUCAGGAAACUGGGGCUAAUACCGGAUAGGAGCUCCUGCUGCAUGGUGGGGGUUGGAAAGUUUCGGCGGUUGGGGAUGGACUCGCGGCUUAUCAGCUUGUUGGUGGGGUAGUGGCUUACCAAGGCUUUGACGGGUAGCCGGCCUGGGAGGGUGACCGGCCACAUUGGGACUGGGAUACGGCCCAGACUCCUACGGGAGGAAGCAGUGGGGAAUAUUGCACAAUGGGCGGAAGCCUGAUGCAGCAACGCCGCGUGCGGGAUGACGGCCUUCGGGUUGUAAACCGCUUUCGCCUGUGACGAAGCGUGAGUGACGGUAAUGGGUAAAGAAGCAACGGCUAACUACGUG